rnacentral:rRNA from 1 species
AUUGAACGCUGGCGGCAUGCCUUACACAUGCAAGUCGAACGGCAGCGCGGGGGCAACCCUGGCGGCGAGUGGCGAACGGGUGAGUAAUACUUCGGAACGUGCCCAGUAGCGGGGGGAUAACGCAGCGAAAGUUGUGCUAAUACCGCAUAUUCUCUACGGAGGAAAGAGGGGGAUCGCAAGACCUCUCACUAUUGGAGCGGCCGAAGCCUGAUUAGCUAGUUGGUGGGGUAAAAGCUCACCAAGGCGACGAUCAGUAGCUGGUUUGAGAGAACGACCAGCCACACUGGGACUGAGACACGGCCCAGACUCCUACGGGAGGCAGCAGUGGGGAAUUUUGGACAAUGGGGGCAACCCUGAUCCAGCCAUGCCGCGUGCGGGAAGAAGGCCUGGUGUAACGCUUUGUUCGGAGAAUACGUCCUCGCUAUACCGAGGGCGGAUGACGGUACCGGAAGGAAUAAGCACCGGCUAACUACGUGCCAGCAGCCGCGGUAA